rnacentral:tRNA from 1 species
ACUGAAAUAGCUCAGUUAGGAGAGCGUUAGACUACGAAUCGAAAGGUCCCUGGUUCGAUCCCGAGAUUCGGCA